AUUAAGAAUCGCUCAACUCAGCGGCCCAUGGCUUCCAUCAGGUUUGCUGUGGAUUCGUUGGCACUGGAGAAGGUGGAGCCAUAACGCUUAGUGUAAGGACUCUUAUAGGCUGAAGGAAGAGGAAGACUACAAUAGACAGAAUUGCUGGUCUUCGCCCCUCCCCAACUUCCUGGUUUCAGAGUGGGGUUUCUCCCACUCUGCUGAUGACGUCUGAGCUGGAUCCGCUGGGGGAGGAGCAGCAUCAACAGUUCUGAGGGUGA